rnacentral:rRNA from 1 species
GACGAACGCUGGCGGCGUGCUUAACACAUGCAAGUCGAACGGAAAGGCCCUGCUUUUGUGGGGUGCUCGAGUGGCGAACGGGUGAGUAACACGUGAGUAACCUGCCCUUGACUUUGGGAUAACUUCAGGAAACUGGGGCUAAUACCGGAUAGGAGCUCCUGCUGCAUGGUGGGGGUUGGAAAGUUUCGGCGGUUGGGGAUGGACUCGCGGCUUAUCAGCUUGUUGGUGGUGUAGUGGCUUACCAAGGCUUUGACGGGUAGCCGGCCUGAGAGGGUGACCGGCGACAUUGGGACUGAGAUACGGCCCAGACUACAAAGGGAGGCAGCAGUGGGGAAGAGUGCAAAAUGGGCGGAAGACUGAUGCAGCAACGCCGCGUGCGGGAUGACGGCCUUCGGGUUGUAAACCGCUUUCGCCUGUGACGAAGCGUGAGUGACGGUAAUGGGUAAAGAAGCACCGGCUAACUACGUG